rfam:Oryza brachyantha chromosome 3, whole genome shotgun sequence.
AAUAAACCAAUUCCUGUGUUUUUUGAUUGAAUUUUUGACUCUUUAUUUUAUUUAAAAUUUUUUAUGAUUAAUAUUUUUAUUGUUAUUACAUGAUGAAAUAUGAAUAGUACUUUGCAUGUGGCUAUUUUUUUAAUUUUUUAAUAAAUUUUUCAAAUAAGAUAGAUGGUCAAACGUUCUAUAGGCAAAACCCACGAAUC